AUUUUCUCUACAAACAGUAACUUAUAAUAAUUUCUCCUUGUACUGUAGCUAAGUAAAAAGAACCCCUUGCUACCUUAGAAAUCAACUUGCCCAGGAUGACUGUACAAAAGAGACCAUGGGACAGCAAGGAGGAGAGAUAUUCCGUCAAGAGGAAAAGAAAAGCAAUAAAAGUAGGGGGAAACAUGACCAGCAAAAAAGAAACAAAAUUCAUCUCCCUCAUCUAAACUCAAGAGGGCCGAUUCUUCUUGGUAAAAUUUUAAGAGCACUCAAGAGUUAACAUUAUUAAAUUCAAAGGAAGCAGUACUAUACUUGCAAGCUAUAAAUGAUUGAGGUUGUGGCCUCUCCCAGAAGACUUUAUAUUUUAAAAAGAACAGAUCACAGAAGGAUAAUUUUAUGGGGCAGGUGGCCUCCUAUACAUGACUUCCCAUGCUUUCAUCCUAACAUCAAAAUGUCUCAGAGGGGAAAUAAUUGCACCUGUGAGAAAUGCAAUGGACUUGUCAAAAUACAUGUAUAAUAUAUAGAUCCACAUACAUUAUAUACCUAUAUAUGUUUCUAUGUGCUUUGUGACAAGAAA